rnacentral:rRNA from 1 species
UGGGGAAUCUUGCGCAAUGGACGAAAGUCUGACGCAGCCACGCCGCGUGAGUGAAGAAGGCCUUCGGGUUGUAAAGCUCUGUCGGAAGGGACGAAAAGCAUUAGGGUUAACAGCCCUAGUACCUGACGGUACCCUUAAAGGAAGCACCGGCUAACUCUGUGCCAGCAGCCGCGGUAAUACAGAGGGUGCAAGCGUUGCUCGGAAUCAUUGGGCGUAAAGGGCAAGUAGGUGGUCUCAUUUGUCUAGGGUGAAAUCCUUGAGCUUAACUCAAGAAGUGCCCUAGAAACGGUGGGACUAGAGUUCUGGAGAGGGUCGUGGAAUUCCCGGUGUAGCGGUGAAAUGCGUAGAGAUCGGGAGGAACACCAGAGGCGAAGGCGGCGACCUGGACAGAUACUGACACUCAACUGCGAAAGCGUGGGGAGCAAACAGGAUUAGAUACCCCCGUAGUCC